rnacentral:lncRNA from 1 species
AAGAGCAGCAGAGAAGUGCGAGGUGUUCACCAAACCCUAUUUCCAUUUCCACCUGCACACAUAGCACAAAAGGAAAACUAACACAAAAGUUAUAAAAUUAACCAAUAAAAAUUAACAUAAUGCUGUUUUGUCAUGUAGGGUGGGAAAACAGUAACAUAUAAGAGGUCUUCAAAAAGUUCAUGGAAAAUAAAAAACUAUAUGUAGAUUUCAAAAAUUUACACAAAAAUAAAUUCAUACUAACUUUUACAGGCACUAAGAAGGAUAAGACAUCAGUUUGAAAAGGGCCCCUAUUAGAGCAAUAGGAAUUUGGCUAAAACUGAAGCAAGAACAAACAUCAAAUUUAUGGUGAAAUCUGGGUAGAAGAAAGGAGAAAUCGCUGUUUUACAAAAAGUUCAUGGGGACAAUGCCCCAAAGAAAUCAGCAGUUUACAAAUGGAUAGCUUGUUUUAAGAAGGGAAGAGACAAAGUUGAAGAUAAAGCCCACAUUCACAUCAUUUUUACAUCUCAUCAAUUUGCAAGGAAAAAAUUCAUCUUGUUCAUGCCCUAAUUAAAGAGGACACUGAUACAUAUAACACGGAUGAACUUCCAAAACAUUAUGCUACAUGAAAAAAGUCAGACUCAAAAUGCCAUACAUUGUAUGAUUCCAUUUAUAUGAAAUGUCCAGAGUGGGCAGUUCCAUAAGAACAUAAUUUUUUUUUGAGAGAGAAAGAGAGGGAGAGAGAGAGAAAGAGAAACGUCUGAAAAAGUCCAAAUUUUUGUUCUUUAAGCCACCCAGUCUGUGGUAUUUUGUUAUGGCAGCCCUAGCAGACUAAUACAGUGGUUGCCAGGGGCUGGGGGAAGCGGAGAAUGACUAGUAA